rnacentral:rRNA from 1 species
AUGCAAGUCGAACGGUGGCAGCAAUGCAUAGUGGCGCAAGGGUGAGGAACGCGUGAGUAAUCUGCCCUCAAGUUGGGAACAGCUUCUGGAAACGGAAAUUAAUACCGAAUGUGACCAUUGGAAGGCAUCUUUGAAUGGUUAAAGGCCGCAAGGUCGCUUGAGGAGGGGCUCGCGUCCCAUUAUGCUAGUUGGUGAGGUAACGGCCCACCAAGGCGAAGAUGGGUAGCUGGUCUGAGAGGACGAUCAGCCACACUGGGACUGAGAACUGCCCAGACUCCUACGGGAGGCUGCAGUCGAGUAAUUUUGGGCAAUGGACGAAAGUCUGAACCCCCAGCAAUGCCGCGUGCGGGAUGAAGGUCUUCGGAUUGUAAACCGCUGUCAAGUGGGACGAAACAAAUGACGGUACCGCUGAAGGAAGUCACGGCUAACUACGUGCCAGCCGCCGC